rnacentral:rRNA from 1 species
UCGCUCCUACCGAUUGAGUGAUCCGGUGAACCUUUUGGAAUGUUUUACACGAAAUCAAGUAAACCUUAUCACUUAGAGGAAGGAG